ensembl:lncRNA
CUCCUGGGCAUCUGACUCAAAGCAGGGAGGCUCUGAAAGGGCUGAGAGAUGACCUUGGAAGAUGCCACUUGACUACUUUUCUCUGAAGUGAUAAUACGCCUACCCAGGGAUUGGAGACCUUGGACAGCUGGAGUGAAGAGUGAGGGUGUUCGUCUGAGGCCUCCCCCCUGCCCCAGUCUACCUGUGUGAGGCCGGCUCUGAAGCUUGAAAUUGGCCACAGAGGGAGUAUUUACACCAUGGAAAUUGCAAAUGCUACAGUUCCAGGUCACCUUAUUGAGCUGUUCCCUGCUUGAAAUGUCCCCCGGUCCACUUGUUGCUGAGGGCCACACCUGGUUCAUGUCUGCAUUUCUGGCCUCUAGCACAGGGCACAUCCUGAACUUGGAAAAAGACAGGGGAUAUGGCAUGUGGUACACCUGCCCCCUCCCCCUGGGAGACUGAUAACCUUAAUUGUCAAGUGAGUGUCAUAUUUCAAAUGAACAUUUAUUCAGUAC